rnacentral:rRNA from 1 species
CAAUCUUUGACGCAAAUUGCGCUCUUGGGUAGCCCUAGGAGCACGCCUCUCUCAGUAUCGGUUCAAUCACCUCUCAGCCGCGUGGAAACAUGUUUGGUCUGGAGAAUGAGAGUCGAAUCGUCCUCACGAUUCGUCUCUUGAAAUACAUCGAGUGAGCCUUUUUUCUCUCUUGACGCGUGUUCGACUUCGGUCGAUCACAAGCUAGUCUCGGACUGGCUGUAUGGGAGUGACGUGAAUAUUGACCCUUUGUGGUCUCACAUUUACGUGUAACUUUUCAUCAGCUAUUACAAAGUCAGGAAUUAGUGUUGGAGUAGAGUGGCUCAUGUCAAGCGGCUUCGGCUGCAAUCGGCUAGAAGAUAAUUACUAUUUUCGAGUCUGAAUUUUGAUCUGAGAUGAAGCGAGACAACCCCCUGAAUUUAAGCAUAUUAAUAAGGGGAGGAAAAGAAACUAACAAGGAUUCCCCCAGUAACGGCGAGUGAAGCGGGAAGAGCUCAAUUUGAAAAUCGACUACCUAAGCGGGUCGUCGAGUUGUAGCCUAGAGACGUACUAUCAGCUGAAACCUGGGUAUAAGUUCUUUGGAAUGAGGCAUCAUAGAGGGUGAGAAUCCCGUAUAUGACCCAAAGCUUUCAGCGUACGAUGUAUGUUCAUCGAGUCGAGUUGUUUGGGAUUGCAGCUCUAAAUGGGUGGU